UACGGAGGGUGCGAGCGUUGUCCGGAAUCACUGGGCGUAAAGGGCGCGUAGGCGGCUCGAUAAGGCUGUGGUGAAAGCCCGGGGCUCAACCCCGGGUCGGCCGUGGCGACUGUUGGGCUGGAGCACUGUAGAGGCGGGCGGAAUUCCGGGUGUAGCGGUGGAAUGCGUAGAGAUCCGGAAGAACACCAGUGGCGAAGGCGGCCCGCUGGGCAGUGGCUGACGCUGAGGCGCGACAGCGUGGGGAGCAAACAGG
rnacentral:rRNA from 1 species